CCUACGGGUGGCAGCAGUGGGGAAUAUUGCACAAUGGGGGAAACCCUGAUGCAGCGACGCCGCGUGAGUGAAGAAGUUAUUCGGUAUGUAAAGCUCUAUCAGCAGGGAAGAAAAGUACGUUACCUGAGUACUACUCCCCGGCUACCUCCGGGCCAGCAGCCGCGGUAAUACGGAGGGGGCAAGGGUUAUCCGGAUUUACUGGGUGUAACGGGAGCGUAGACGGCAGUGCAAGUCUGGAGUGAAAGGCGGGGGCUCAACCCCCGGACUGCUCUGGAAACUGUACGGCUGGAGUGCAGGAGAGGUAAGUGGAAUUCCUAGUGUAGGGGUGAAAUGCGUAGAUAUUAGGAGGAACACCAGUGGCGAAGGCAGCUUACUAAACUGCCACUGACAUUGAUGCUCGAAAGUGUGGGUAUCAAACAGGAUUAGAUACCCUUGUAGUC
rnacentral:rRNA from 1 species